CAGGUGGUGCAUGGUUGUCGUCAGCUCGUGUCGUGAGAUGUUGGGUUAAGUCCCGCAACGAGCGCAACCCCUGUCCUUAGUAGCCAGCAUUUCGGGUGGGCACUCUAGGGAGACUGCCAGGGAUAACCUGGAGGAAGGCGGGGAUGACGUCAAAUCAUCAUGCCCCUUAUGGCUUGGGCUACACACGUGCUACAAUGGCGUAAACAAAGGGAAGCGAGCCCGCGAGGGGGAGCGAAUCCCAAAAAUAACGUCCCAGUUCGGACUGUAGUCUGCAACCCGACUACACGAAGCUGGAAUCGCUAGUAAUCGCGAAUCAGAAUGUCGCGGUGAAUACGUUCCCGGGUCUUGUACACACCGCCCGUCACACCAUGGGAGUCGGGAAUGCCCGAAGCCGGUGACCCAACCGAAAGGAGGGAGCCGUCGAAGGCAGGUCUGAUAACUGGGGUGAAGUCGUAACAAGGUAGCCGUAUCGGAAGGUGCGGUUGGAUCACCUC
rnacentral:rRNA from 1 species